rnacentral:tRNA from 1 species
GUUGUUGUGGCUGAGUGGUUAAGGCGAUGGCCUUGAAAUCCGUUGGGGUCUCCCGCGUAGGUUCAAAUCCUGCCAACAACG